rnacentral:rRNA from 1 species
GACGAACGCUGGCGGCGUGCUUCAUACAUGCAAGUCGAACGAGAAGUCACCUUCGGGUGAUGGAAAGUGGCGGACGGGUGAGUAAUGUGUAGAGAAUCUGCCCUUGAGUGGGGGACAACAGUUGAAACGACUGCUAAUACCCCAUAUGAGCUUAGCUGAAAUGCUAAUCUUGAAAACUCCGGUGCUCAAAGGAUGAGUCUGCAUCUGAUUAGCUAGUUGGCGGUGUAAUGGACCACCAAGGCUACGAUCAGUAGCUGGUUUGAGAGGAUGAUCAGCCACAAUGGGACUGAGACACGGCCCAUACUCCUACGGGAGGCAGCAGUUAGGGAAUUUUUCGCGCAAUGGGGGAAACCCUGACGCAGCAACGCCGCGUG